rnacentral:rRNA from 1 species
AGUGAACGCUGGCGGUAGGCCUAACACAUGCAAGUCGAACGGCAGCACAGUAAGAGCUUGCUCUUACGGGUGGCGAGUGGCGGACGGGUGAGGAAUACAUCGGAAUCUACUUUUUCGUGGGGGAUAACGUAGGGAAACUUACGCUAAUACCGCAUACGACCUACGGGCGAAAGCAGGGGAUCUUCGGACCUUGCGCGGUUGAAUGAGCCGAUGUCGGAUUAGCUAGUUGGCGGGGUAAAGGCCCACCAAGGCGACGAUCCGUAGCUGGUCUGAGAGGAUGAUCAGCCACACUGGAACUGAGACACGGUCCAGACUCCUACGGGAGGCAGCAGUGGGGAAUAUUGGACAAUGGGCGCAAGCCUGAUCCAGCCAUACCGCGUGGGUGAAGAAGGCCUUCGGGUUGUAAAGCCCUUUUGUUGGGAAAGAAAAGCAGCAGGUUAAUACCCCGCUGUUCUGACGGUACCCAAAGAAUAAGCACCGGCUAACUUCGU